AGCUGCCUUGACUGAGUAAGUCAGAGAAGGCUUCCUGGAGGAGAGCGAAGGGUGUGGGGCUGGGUUGAGAUACAGGAAGAUCUGGGUUUGAAUUAUAGUUUGGCUGCUUCCUAGCUGUUUGAUCUUGGACAAAACUUUCAUUCAUUCUAUAUUUUUUGGAGUGUCUACUCCAUGCCAAUCAUGUGUGAAAUGUUGGGAUAACAAAGGCGAAUUCAAUCUGGCUCUCGUCCUCGGAGCUUAAGCAAAUCAUCUGGGGUAGCGUGACCCAUGCUACGAUGGAGGUGGAAUACGGGGCUGCAGGGCGGGGCCACAGGACAUAGUGGGCAGCUUAACCUCCUUGAGCCUCCCUAUCCCUAAUUCACGUGAUGGGGUUUGUAACCACUUCUCACAUCGUUGAGAGAAAAGGGUGAGCCUGACUCAGAGGUGUGGCAAAGGAAGGGCAGGGCAGGCUUUAAGGACAGGGACAGGGCUGUCAGAGGCUGAGGCUAGGGAGGGGCAGGAAGGGGUGUGAGGCAGGGCGGAAGAGAGCAGGGCCCUGGGCAGGUGCUGAGCCAGGUCCUGCAGGUCACCCAGUCGCUUGAGUCCACGAAUGCUGGAGGCAGGCACUGGAGAGCCAGGGUGGUUCAGCCGCAGCUCCUCUGAGCAGGGAGUCAAACAGGGCUGAAACAGACACCAGCUCUCCAGGACCAGCUGGUAAGAGCUUCUCCACUGCCCCCGAGCCCUGACAGGAGGACUCCCACAGUGUGCAUGGAAGCCCAGGGAGCUCGGGGGCUACAGAGGCACCAUUGGCUCUGGAGCCUGCAGCCCAGACAGCCCCCUCCAGAUGUAAUGGGGGAAGGAGCCAGGGACUGGGAGGAAUUCAGAGGUCAGAGGAGGAGCAGUAUCAGGAGAUACUGCCCUCCUGCAACUCCUCCUCCCAGCUGCUCUCCCCUCCUGCUAGUGCCCACAAUGGCUCCCAGCUGCCUCCUAUAAGGAAGCUUUAUUAGCCUGCAGCCUGUACUCCUCCACGCAGCAGAGCUGACAGGACCCCAUUAGUCAGCUUAUUCAACCCUUCCCCUGGUGCACAAACCCUUGCCAAGCUUUUCUGGCAUUUUGCUCAGCCUGCUUGGACCCUCCAAGCAGGUAGGAACUCACUGUUUCACAAAGCAGUGUUAUUAGAAAGGUUUCCCUGACCCUAGCCCCCCACAUCUAAUCUUUCUCAAAUGUGGGCAGACUUGUUCCUGGCCCCUUCUCAUUCCACCAGUGCACACAUGCACAUGCUCCCUCUCUCCAUCCAAGCUCCAGGAAUCAACCUCUACCCUGAACCAGGUCCCUGAGGACCACCACGUGGCUGCAACACAGCAGGUGUGGGGCAGGGCACAAGUGGGCUUAAGGGGGGUAUAAGGGCUGGCAGUUUGCUCAUUGAUUCACUCAACAAACAUGUACUGAGCACCUCUAAAGGGCCAGGGCCUGUGCUAGGCACUGCGGUGCCAUGGUGAGCAAAUCCAGAAAUGGACCCUGCCCUCUAGGAGUUCACAGUCCAGAGGAGAAGCCCGAUGCUGAACAGAGAAUCACAUCCGUGAGCAACACAAAAGGCAAGGCAAACCCUGGGCAGAUGCCCCCGGGACUGUGUGUUAUGGGCCUACAGGAAGCCUCUCCCAAUGAAAAAGCAAUUUUUCAGCCAGAACCUCCACCAGUGUCUUUCAAACUGUGAGUGGCAACCCAUUUGUGGGUCAUAAAAUCAAUUUAGUAGUUGUGACCUGAAUUACUUGUUAGUGAAAUAGAGAGGAAUUUACAACAUCACACUUAGGAAAUACUGUUUUGUGAAAUGUUAGUUUCAGUUAUCUAUCUAUCUAUCUGUCUGUCUGAGAGAUCAUGUUUAUUAGUUAAGAUAUUAAAUGUAUUUCUUACUGCAGGUCUCAAUCAAAAACCUCUGAAAGCCACUGGCCUAGAGUUAGAGGAAGAGUUAGCCAUGAGAAAUGGUGGUGACACAGGUUCCAAAAGAAGAAACAAUAGGUAUCAGGCUCAGAGAUGAAAGGGCUAGAAGGAGGACACACCAAGUUCAAGGUCUGGCCUUUCUCGAGGGCAGUGGGGAGCCAUGGGAGGUUAGCAAGAUCCCAUCUUCUUCAUCCCUGGGCCUCACCCCAUGGGCAGGAGGGAAAUGGCAGGAAGUUGUCUUUGUGUCUCCCCAGGAGCCUGGACCUGUGGCCUUCCCUGCCUCCACCUGGGCCUCAACCGUCACGACCACCUGGCCUUUGAGGUAGGGUUUGGAGAAGGAAGUCAGCCUAUUAUCAGGAGAAGGCUUGAAUUUCUAUAUUCAUAGCUUGUUUCUGUCACUUACUAGCCUUGUGAUCAUGGGCAACUUGUCUAAUCUCUGUCCCUCAGUUUCCUCCUUUGUAAAAUAGGUCUCAUAGAACUCAUCCCCAAAAGUCCUUGUGAAGAUUUAGUUUGUAAGCCAGAUGUCUGCAGACCUCCAGUAAAAGAAUAUGUUUUUGGUAUUAGUAUAAAUCAAAUGGCUCACGCUGUGUCUCAGAGCUGCAACGAUCCAACGCCCUCCAUCCUUCAGAGGCUGUCUGAGUCCGGGGACACAACUCCCACCCUCCUCUCCUGCCAGCCGCGGCCCGUGGCUGCUCUCUUCACUUCGUCCCGCUUCGCCCCGACUGUGGAUCUACCCGCUCCCUUCUCCCUCAGUCCCCAAAGCACCAGACUCACAGGCCUGCUGUGUGACCCACUUUUACCGACCUUUCGGGGAGAGUAGAGGGCAUUUGUGACUCAGCUCAGAGCAGGAAACACAUCUCACGUCAACUGUCAGACAGCGCUGCUCCGAAUCCCAUCACAGUGCUCCAGCAGGGGGCGUCCUCACCGGCCGCGGCCACAGCCACGGCUCAACCCGGCCUAGCUCCCAGACACCCUCCUUCCACCGCCUGUUUUCCACCGUCCCCGCCUGCUCUUUCAAGCCAGCAGCAAACAACACCCUAAUCCGUGUCUUUAUUAUUCAAAGACCUUAAGCACUCUUUCCCACCUCGUUCCCAUCUUGAUUAUUUCAGGGAAUGAAUUAGGGAUUCACCUUUACAAUCAAAAAAGUUCUCUCAAAGCCAGGCUACUGGAGUUCUAAUUCUGCCUUCCCACUUUUACUAGCUGUGAAAUCUCAGGAAAGUUACUUAACCUCUCUCUGUCUCAUUUUCCUCAUCUUUAAAAAACAGGAUGAUAAUAUUUAGCUCCUAAGAUGGUUGUGAGGAUUUAAGUGAGCUGAUAUAUCCAAGAAUGUCUAGAACAGCGCGUGGCAGAAUGGGCAUUGCAUAUGGGUUUAAUCUUGUAACUGCCAUGUUUCACCAAUUCUAAGGUGUAUCUCGUUUCUCAUCAUAAGAGCUCUUCCGCUCGUGUGGCAGCUGGGAGUGGCCGUCAUUGCCUGCGCAUACCUAAACUUGGUCAGCAGCCAAGUGUUUUGUGAGACCUAAGAAAGGAAGAGCCCCAUAAGUAAAUGGAACUGUUGUGUUGUUUUAUUACCGAGAAAAGGGCAGAAUGAUUGCUAGUCACACGUGAAGCAAGAAAACCCCGGCAAUAAAGCUUGCAGAAUGAGUGGCUGAGGCUUGAAAAUAAAUGGUGGAAACAAUAGUGGACAAUCUUUUAAAGAAUGGCACAUUGCCAAUGCUCCUGAUGGCACAGAAGGUGACACCAUGCAGAAAAUCAAGGCUCUGAGUCAAAGAGGGUUUCAGAAAAAUUGGACUCUGAAUGUGAAGAAAUCUGGGGACUAUUUUAGCCAAUUUGUUUUGCCUAUAAUUUCCUUUUAUGCAUGCAAAAGAGCAAUUCUGAC
rnacentral:lncRNA from 1 species